rnacentral:tRNA from 2 species
GGGCACUUAGUUUAGGGGUAUAACGUUCGCUUCGCAUGCGAAAGGUCGUGGGUUCAAUUCCCACAGUGUCCA